rnacentral:rRNA from 1 species
GGCUCAGAUUGAACGCUAGCGGGAUGCCUUACACAUGCAAGUCGAACGGCAGCACGGACUUCGGUCUGGUGGCGAGUGGCGAACGGGUGAGUAAUGUAUCGGAACGUGCCUAGUAGCGGGGGAUAACUACGCGAAAGCGUAGCUAAUACCGCAUACGCCCUACGGGGGAAAGCAGGGGAUCGCAAGACCUUGCACUAUUAGAGCGGCCGAUAUCGGAUUAGCUAGUUGGUGGGGUAACGGCUCACCAAGGCGACGAUCCGUAGCUGGUUUGAGAGGACGACCAGCCACACUGGGACUGAGACACGGCCCAGACUCCUACGGGAGGCAGCAGUGGGGAAUUUUGGACAAUGGGGGAAACCCUGAUCCAGCCAUCCCGCGUGUGCGAUGAAGGCCUUCGGGUUGUAAAGCACUUUUGGCAGGAAAGAAACGUCAUGGGUUAAUACCCCGUGAAACUGACGGUACCUGCAGAAUAAGCACCGGCUAACUACGUGCCAGCAGCCGCGGUAAUACGUAGGGUGCAAGCGUUAAUCGGAAUUACUGGGCGUAAAGCGUGCGCAGGCGGUUCGGAAAGAAAGAUGUGAAAUCCCAGAGCUUAACUUUGGAACUGCAUUUUUAACUACCGAGCUAGAGUGUGUCAGAGGGAGGUGGAAUUCCGCGUGUAGCAGUGAAAUGCGUAGAUAUGCGGAGGAACACCGAUGGCGAAGGCAGCCUCCUGGGAUAACACU